UUUUUAUUUGCAUUUCAGGUUUCAGUGUGUUGUUCCUGGUUAGUUAUGAUACUCUGGAAGGAAUGCUUGGAUGUUUUUUUUUACUUCAGAACUUGAAAGAAAGUUCACAAGUAACAGCACAAGACUUCAAUGGCAAUCAGGAUGGAAAUCACACCUGUGUUGGGCAGGUGUGUGCUUUAAAGGAAAUCUAGGUGGUGAGAGAACAGCGAGGCUGAACAGCUUUCAUUUAGUUCUUAGGCCUGCAGCAUACUCUGGAGGAGGAAUAAGUUUGUAUUCAAAGGAGUCAAGUGUGAAGAUUUGCUAAUUCUCUCAACUUUCCUUUGGCCCGUGCCACUCUGUUCAUACACAAGGCCUCAUCUGCAGUGCUGUGACACCACAAAGAGCCCGGAGAUGCCUACGCCAGUGAGAAGCAUGCUGGUGAGGGCAGAUAUUCCCCAGCUUUAUGGCCAGCUCUAAUGAUGUUCAUCAUUUAUUAUGAGAGGAACUUGUCAACAUGAGCGUGACUCAAGAGAUGCAGCAAAGAAAUGCUAUUUUGAAGAAAGGACUUCUAAUGGAAUUGGAAUGUGAAAAAGAACUACUGGAGACCUUUGGAAAAAAAAAGUGUUUUUCUUGUUUCUGGUACUAGCAGAACGUCAUGAUUUAAAGCUGUGCCAGCAGAUCAGUGAGAAAGGAAUUGGUGCUUGCAGAGGUGUAUGUUAACAUUUGGAGAGAUCUAGAUUCUAAAUUGUUAGUUCAGAUUUGCUUGAUUUGUAUUUAAGAAUAAUCCAAAGUAUAAAAUCUGUGAUAAUCAAAAUACAAAGGGGGAAUGGAAAGAGCUAAGAAUCUCCUUAAAAUUCUCUGGGCAUUGUCUUUGUUGUUUGUGUUGAAAGGGCAGAUGCUGGGUGUAGUUUUUGCCUUAUUUUAACACCUAAGCCAAGAUGAAGGCAAAGAAGUGCUGAUGCAUGUCUGUGUACAUCUGUGUGUCAUCAUAACAGCUUAAGAAACUGCUUCUACUUAUGGGAAAAAGGGAGAAAAAAAAAUCCACAGGAUACUCAAAAAAAUAAAUAAAUAACAAAGAUAUUUGGGGUUUAAAACAUUGUAGCCUUUUUGACUGUGUCCAGGGAAACAUUUCCUCUAGAAAUCUAAGAAUUGAAGAUUUUUCAAAGACCUUGAGAUUCUGCAGGAAAAUAUUUCUUUUAUAUGGAGGAAAAAGAUAUUUCCUGUCUAUCUACAACAGGAAUGCCAGUGGUAUUUUCCUACAAAACAUGAUGUCUGUAUGAUGACCAAAAAUUAUAACAGAUUUUAAUGGCAGUUACGCUUUGACUUCUGUUGCUAUAGACUUUUUUUUUUUAACGUAGACAUGCUGUUUCACUUCAGAAAUAUUGAAUAACAGUGACUAACUUAAGGUCUAGUUCAAUGGCAAUUGACGAAAUAACAGCUUUAAAUUAUCAUUUACUAAUUUGCCAGAGAUACAAUGCUGGGGCCUAUUUAGAAUCAGUUGGUACGUGCUGUAUUUUUCACUAAAAUAUUUGAUGCUAAAUGUUGUGUCUAUGACCAACCAGAAAUCAGUCCUAAUUCAUAGGUUAAAGACAAAUUUUUUAAAGACUACUUCUGAAAAUGAACUGGACGAGUAAUACCUGUAAACUCUUUUUAGUGUGCGGCAUUGUCCAGCUUGUUUUUUCUUAUCCAUUAGCAUUGCUGGUAUCAAGUGUAGGAACUGAAGGAGUAAAACUUGCUUUGGCUUGUUAAAAACUGAAAAAUCCUCUAAGUCUUGCAAAGAAACACAGAUAUUUUUAUAUAUGUAGAUAUUUUUAAUUUUAGCCUAAGCAGUAGUAGGUAGUAUAAGGUUUGCUAUAUAGAAUUAGAAUCCUUGCAAAUAUUUAUAUACAUAAAAUUGCUCAAUUGUGUAGGUCAGUAUUCAAGGUUAAGCUUGCUUUAUAUAUAAUGUUCUUUCUGCCAAUAUUUUGGCAUGCACUUCAGGCUGGUGCCGUGGUAAGGAGGAAUAAUUUGCUCUAAUGCAAGUAAACAAAACCAAUUAGAAGACAUUUAUCUCUGAACAUAGUGUAGUUUUUAACAGCCAAAUUUUUUAAAAGGAAAAAUAUAGUACCAGGGGACAGGAAAAAAAAAAAAAAGCUGCUAAAUUGAUUUGAGGGAUGGAAAAAAAAUGUUGCAAAAUGAAGCUUAGAACUCAGUAAGUAUUGGUUUAGCAUAAAGAAGAAUGGGAUAUAACUUGAUUACAGCGGUCAAGUACGUUUGCUGGCCAAAAAUACUAAGAAAAUUAUAGUACAUGAGAAACUUAUAACAGAAAACAAUAGCUGGAAGCUGAAAUCAGAUAAAUUUGUAUUGAAGGUAGCAAUGAUAAUCUCAUUAUGUGAAGAAAUCUGGGGUCAGCCCUAAGAGAUGUACAGAGAAAAACCUGUCACAGAGUAUCUGGCUGCAACAAAGUCAGUACCAGUAGCAAGUUUUUUGAAAAUUACAUUUUGAGAAACAUUCUGGCUUUCUUGUACUGUUUGUGUAGAAGUCAUGAAGAAAAAGGGAGGGGAAAAAAAAAAAAAAAAACAAAAAACACACAACAAAAUACAAAACAAAAAAUAUAAUGAAGGGAGGAGAAAAUGUUCUGGGAAGUUAUCAAAAAUGUAGGACAAAAACAUUUCUUGUGGCAAAGGCUCAGAUAUGUCUUUUCUGGAAAAAAAAGUGGAAAUAUUUUUGCUGAUUUCUUUGGUGAAUGCCAGAAGUACUCAACACUUCAAAAACAAGUCUUUUUUAAUAAAAAUAAUAAAAAAUAAUAAUCAUGGCACUUUAGUUCUGAAAUAAAACUGGCUGCAACAGUCUUUGUCAAAAUGGACUUGAGCUGUUUUGAGCAGUAUCAGAUUCUUUGGUUCUGCCUUCAAAAGCGCCAACUCUCACCGAAGGUGGGCAAAUAAAUACUCCGUAAAUACUCCACUGCAGGGGAGAGCUGGGCAGUAAUUGAGGGGUAAACUUCUCUAACCUGUUGUACAGGAUGAUGAUACGAGAAUAAUUUCUUCUGGCAUCUGGAAGGGGAGCCAAGGGAAAUUCUUUUUGCUUUCAGGAAGGAAUCUGAACUUUAUGCGGCAUUUUCUGCUGUGUGCUCAUUUUACAUACUUUGCCCAAGGGUUAAACAGUUUCUGCUUGAGCUGGAUAUUUGUCCCUUUACAAAAUACAGGAGCUGUGAGGCUUGGUAUUACUAAACAACUGUGGAUAAUAGCCUACUCGU